rnacentral:rRNA from 1 species
UGGGGGAUAUUGCACAAUGGGCGAAAGCUUGAUGCAGCAACGCCGCGUGAGGGACGACGGCCUUCGGGUUGUAAACCUCUUUUAGCAAGGAAGAAGCGAAAGUGACGGUACUUGCAGAAAAAGCGCCGGCUAACUACGUGCCAGCAGCCGCGGUAAUACGUAGGGCGCAAGCGUUAUCCGGAAUUAUUGGGCGUAAAGAGCUCGUAGGCGGUUUGUCGCGUCUGCUGUGAAAACCCGAGGCUCAACCUCGGGCCUGCAGUGGGUACGGGCAGACUAGAGUGCGGUAGGGGAGAUUGGAACUCCUGGUGUAGCGGUGGAAUGCGCAGAUAUCAGGAAGAACACCGAUGGCGAAGGCAGAUCUCUGGGCCGUAACUGACGCUGAGGAGCGAAAGGGUGGGGAGCAAACAGGCUUAGAUACCCUGGUAGUCCACCCCGUAAACGUUGGGAACUAGUUGUGGGGUCCAUUCCACGGAUUCCGUGACGCAGCUAACGCAUUAAGUUCCCCGCCUGGGGAGUACGGCCGCAAGGCU